rnacentral:rRNA from 1 species
AAUCAACGCUGGCGGCGUGCCUAACACAUGCAAGUCGAACGAGAAAGUCCCCGCAAGGGGAUGAGUACAGUGGCGACCGGGUGAGUAACACGUGACUAACCUACCCUGAAGCGGGGAAUAACCUCGGGAAACCGGGGCUAAUACCGCAUACCUUCCAGAGGGGAAGCUCCUUUGGAGGAAACGAGCAAUCGGCUUUAGGAGGGGGUCGCGCCCGAUUACGGUAGUUGGCGGGGUAACGGCCCACCAAGCCUUUGGUCGGUAGCCGGCCUGAGAGGGCGCACGGCCACACUGGAACUGAAACACGGUCCAGACUCCUACGGGAGGCAGCAGUGGGGAAUUUUGCGCAAUGGGGGAAACCCUGACGCAGCAACGCCGCGUGGAGGAUGAAGUCCCUUGGGACGUAAACUCCUUUCGACCGGGACGAUAAUGACGGUACCGGUGGAAGAAGCCCCGGCUAACUCCGUGC